rnacentral:rRNA from 1 species
AUUGAACGCUGGCGGCAGGCCUAACACAUGCAAGUCGAACGAGUGGCGGACGGGUGAGUAAUGUUUGGGAAUCUAGCUUAUGGAGGGGGAUAACUACUGGAAACGGUAGCUAAUACCGCGUACCAUCGGAUGCGCCCAAGUGGGAUUAGUUAGUUGGUGAGGUAAAGGCUCACCAAGCCGACGAUCCCUAGCUGGUCUGAGAGGAUGACCAGCCACACUGGGACUGAGACACGGCCCAGACUCCUACGGGAGGCAGCAGUGGGGAAUAUUGCACAAUGGGGGCAACCCUGACGCAGCCAUGCCGCGUGAAUGAAGAAGGCCUUCGGGUUGUAAAGUACUUUCGGUAGCGAGGCGUUACCUACAGAAGAAGCACCGGCUAACUCCGUGCCAGCCGCCGCGGUAAUAC